UGCAAGGCGAGCGGAUGACGGGAGCUUGCUCCUUGAUUCAGCGGCGGACGGGUGAGUAAUGCCUAGGAAUCUGCCUGGUAGUGGGGGACAACGUUUCGAAAGGAACGCUAAUACCGCAUACGUCCUACGGGAGAGCAGGGGACCUUCGGGCCUUGCGCUAUCAGAUGAGCCUAGGUCGGAUUAGCUAGUUGGUGAGGUAAUGGCUCACCAAGGCGACGAUCCGUAAGUGGUCUGAGAGGAUGACCAGUCACACUGGAACUGAGACACGGUCCAGACUCCUACGGGAGGCAGCAGUGGGGAAUAUUGGACAAUGGGCGAAAGCCUGAUCCAACCAUGCCGCGUGUGUGAAGAAGGUCUUCGGAUUGUAAAGCACUUUAACUUGGGAGGAAGGGCAGUAAGCUAAUACCUUGCUGUUUUGACGUUACCGACAGAAUAAGCACCGGCUAACUCUGUGCCAGCAGCCGCGGUAAUACAGAGGGUGCAAGCGUUAAUCGGAAUUACUGGGCGUAGCGCGCGUAGGUGGUUCGUUAAGUUGGAUGUGAAAGCCCCGGGCUCAACCUGGGAACUGCAUCCAAAUCUGGCGAGCUAGAGUACGGUAGAGGGUGGUGGAAUUUCCUGU
rnacentral:rRNA from 1 species